GAUGAACGCUGGCGGCGUGCUUAACACAUGCAAGUCGAACGAGAAGUGAAGACGGAAACCUUCGGGCGGAAGGCUUUAUUUCGAGUGGCGGACGGGUGAGUAACGCGUGGGUAACCUGCCUCAUACAGGGGGAUAACAGUUGGAAACGACUGUUAAUACCGCAUAAGACCACAGCACCGCAUGGUGCGGGGGUAAAAACUCCGGUGGUAUGAGAUGGACCCGCGUUCGAUUAGCCAGUUGGCGGGGUAACGGCCCACCAAAGCGACGAUCGAUAGCCGAUCUGAGAGGAUGACCGGCCACAUUGGGACUGAGACACGGCCCAAACUCCUACGGGAGGCAGCAGAGGGGAAUAUUGCACAAUGGGGGAAACCCUGAUGCAGCGACGCCGCGUGAGUGAAGAAGUAUUUCGGUAUGUAAAGCUCUAUCAGCAGGGAAGAAAAUGACGGUACCUGAGUAAGAAGCCCCGGCUAACUACGUG
rnacentral:rRNA from 1 species